rnacentral:misc_RNA from 1 species
UCUCCGUAGGUGAACCUGCGGAGGGAUCAUUACCGAGUGAGGGUUCCGGCCCGACCUCCAACCCUUUGUGAAUUCGACCCAGUUGCCUCGGGGGCGACCCGGCCUUUCGUGCCGGGCGGCCCUCCGAGGUCCAUUAACAACCUGCAUUUUGACGUCGGAGUAUUGAAAACAAUCAAUCAAAACUUUCAACAACGGAUCUCUUGGUUCUGGCAUCGAUGAAGAACGCAGC